CGGUUUGUUCUCAGCACCCCAUCUUCUUCUUCAUCGUUCCUGGUUUUGUAUGUCAUAACUUAUGAGGAAGAAGAAGAACGGUUGCGGCCAUUUUUGGGAGUAUGUCGAGUUGUCGACAAGAGAAAACCCUAAUGGUUUUAAAGUUUGGGCUCAAGCUAGAUAAUUUUUUUCAUUUGGGCUAAUAUUCGUUGGCCCUAAUUUUAAUAAUAUUGUUUUUAUUUUUAUUUGGCCCAAUAUCUUUACAAAACCCACAGUCCAUUACAUAAAAUAUGUAUGAAAAAGAAAAACCCUAGAUCUAAGUCAUUUCUUUUGAUUUUUUCCAUUUGCUUUCUUUUCUUUCUUUUGCAGCCGAUUAUCCUUGGAGACCCUAGCAAAACAUCACUUAGAUCGUCGUCAAAGCAACCGUCAAUACUCAAUCAUCUUUCACAUUGCAUCUCGUCGUCAGCACGAAGCCUAAGUCCAUCCACUACGGUACGGAUGUUCAAGCGCCGGAGCCAGCUAGAAACUAUUUCUGGUUGUCGUUGCCGUCGCCGUUGCGGCUUAACCAUCAGCUUGUCGAAAACCCUAGAUUUAAAUGGGUUUGGGCUUGUUAUUAAAAUUUGGUCUGGGUUUGUGAUUUUAUUGGCCUUGUAAAUCUUUUUGUA